rnacentral:lncRNA from 1 species
CUCCAAAUCUGAAAGCCCAAAAGACAAAACCCAAAGCUUAUAAUGGCCCACAUGCGGGUGUGCAUAGCACACGGUUCAUAGGGAGGCGCACAAUAGGGGAUCCAGGUAGCUUACAAAAGCAAGCCAUGCAAUCUAUAAAAAAAAAGAUGCUCUAGAAAUGCAUGGUUUUGGGGAGCAUGUGAGGUGGGUCUCGUAGAAUUUAAAGAGGAGUUUGGAGGAUUACAAGAUUCUCAUGGGAA